rnacentral:rRNA from 1 species
GAUGAACGCUGGCGGCGUGCUUAACACAUGCAAGUCGAACGAAGAAUCCGUUUUCGGAUGGAUUCUGAGUGGCGGACGGGUGAGUAACGCGUGAGGAACCUGCCUCGGAGUGGGGAAUAACAGUUGGAAACGACUGCUAAUACCGCAUGAUGCAGCUGAGCCACAUGGCUCUACUGCCAAAGAUUUAUCGCUCUGAGAUGGCCUCGCGUCUGAUUAGCUAGUUGGUGAGGUAACGGCCCACCAAGGCAACGAUCAGUAGCCGGACUGAGAGGUCGGCCGGCCACAUUGGGACUGAGAUACGGCCCAGACUCCUACGGGAGGCAGCAGUGGGGAAUAUUGGGCAAUGGGCGAAAGCCUGACCCAGCAACGCCGCGUGAAGGAAGAAGGCUUUCGGGUUGUAAACUUCUUUUAUUCAGGACGAUAAUGACGGUACUGAAUGAAUAAGCUCCGGCUAACUACGUG